GCUGAGGAGUCCCACAAUAGGACUAAACGGCCGUCC
rnacentral:hammerhead_ribozyme from 1 species